rnacentral:rRNA from 1 species
GUUAGGAAUAUUGGACAAUGGGCGCAAGCCUGAUCCAGCCAUGCCGCGUGAGUGAUGAAGGCCUUCGGGUUGUAAAGCUCUUUAGUCCACGAAUAUAAUGACUGUAGUGGAAGAAUAAGCCCCGGCUAACUUCGUGCCAGCAGCCGCGGUAAUACGAAGGGGGCGAGCGUUAUUCGGAAUCACUGGGCGUAAAGCGUGCGUAGGCUGUUUUGUAAGUCAGAAGUGAAAGCCCAGGGCUUAACCCUGGAAUUGCUUUUGAAACUACAAGACUCGACUUCGGGAGAGGAUAGCGGAAUUGUAAGUGUAGCAGUGAAAUGCGUAGAUAUUGACAGGAACACCAGUGGCGCAAGCGGCUAUCUGGACCGAUAUUGACGCUGAGGCACGAAAGCGUGGGGAGCAAACAGGAUUAGAUACCCGUGUAGUCC